AAAAUAUAUAUAUAUAUUUUCACUGAAUCUUACUUUUCUUUUCCUUAGGUAACUGGCUAAAUUACAUUCCCCAGCCUCCUUAAAGCUAAAUGUUGACAUCUUGGGCAGCCUUGCAAGAGAGAUUUUGAAGAUGGUGACAUUUCUAUAAACCAUAGUUACAUUGAGAAGAUCCCCCAACCCUAUACAACCACCUACUGAACUUUACAUGAGCAAGAAAUCAGUCACCGUGCCCAGGAGUUCAAGUCCUACUUCCCAGGUCUUGUACCACUUCCCAGCUCUUAUCUGUUAGGAACAAGAGUAGUCAGAACCAGGGAUCUGAUGAGUCCCUAGAGCCAAGAGGGGAGCGAGGCCGCUGAUA